rnacentral:rRNA from 1 species
GAUGAACGCUGGCGGCGUGCCUAAUACAUGCAAGUCGAGCGAACAGACGAGGAGCUUGCUCCUCUGACGUUAGCGGCGGACGGGUGAGUAACACGUGGAUAACCUACCUAUAAGACUGGGAUAACUUCGGGAAACCGGAGCUAAUCCCGGAUAAUAUAUUGAACCGCAUGGUUCAAUAGUGAAAGACGGUUUUGCUGUCACUUAUAGAUGGAUCCGCGCCGCAUUAGCUAGUUGGUAAGGUAACGGCUUACCAAGGCAACGAUGCGUAGCCGGCCUGAGAGGGUGAUCGGCCACACUGGAACUGAGACACGGUCCAGACUCGUGCGGGAGGCAGGAGUAGGGAAUCUGCCGCAAUGGGCGAAGGCCUGACGGAGCAACGACGCGUGAAUGAUGAAGGUCUUCGGAUCGUAAAACUCUGUUAUUAGGGAAGAACAAAUGUGUAAGUAACUAUGCACGUCUUGACGAUACCUAAUCAGAAGGCCACGGCUAACUACG